GUGGGGCUGAGACUUCGCGUCUUAACAAGCUGCUCUCAGUUGAUGCUGAUCCUCAUGGUCCAAUGUAUGACAAUGCUGUUGAAUGUGCCUCUUCAUUUCAGCACACUGCCUUCAGGCAGGGAAUGGGCCACUCCUGGCACCCUGCACAUUUUAGCAUUUGUUUCCUGUCUCUCCCCACUAGAAUGCAAGCUGCAGAGGAAUUGUAUCCGUAGCACCUGGCUUCGCAGACCAAGAGCAAGUCGGCACACCAGGACAGGCACUCGCAUGGGUGCCCAGAAGUUUCAAGAUCUGACCUUGGAGAGACCAGGUCCGGGAGGCUGCCGGGAAGUCUCCAUCACACCGGCCUCAGCCGAGUCACAGGAACGCAGGCUCUGCCAUGCCCAGAAGCCUGAGAUGCAACUUCAAGGACAACGGGAGCCAGAACGCUUGACCUCACACGGAAGGUGACUCCUAACCACCACCACACUUGACGUAGCACCAGCACACGGAGAUUAGGCCUACACCAAUGGCUAAUUGAGACCAUGCAUCACUAUUAAGGCAUCUUCAGCAAAAGGAACUAUGGAAGUUCUGCAUGAAACAUAGACACCUGUUAGAAAAGGAACUAAAUUUCAAACCGGGAAUGUGGUGUUGAAUCACAGCAAAGUGUCCAGAAGGAACUCCCAAAGUACUGUUUUCCAAAAUAUAGAAUGAUAUAGAAGAUUGUUUUAGGUGGAAUUCCUGGAAAUAAAUUUUUAAAUGUU
ensembl:lncRNA LINC01100 long intergenic non-protein coding RNA 1100